AGAGUUUGAUCCUGGCUCAGGAUGAACGCUGGCUACAGGCUUAACACAUGCAAGUCGAGGGGAAACGACGGGGAAGCUUGCUUCCUCGGGCGUCGACCGGCGCACGGGUGAGUAACGCGUAUCCAACCUGCCCUUCACCACGGGAUAACCCGGCGAAAGUCGGACUAAUACCGUAUGUUGUCCAUUGACGGCAUCCGAUUUGGACGAAAGGUUUGGCGGUGAAGGAUGGGGAUGCGUCCGAUUAGCUUGACGGCGGGGUAACGGCCCACCGUGGCAACGAUCGGUAGGGGUUCUGAGAGGAAGGUCCCCCACACUGGAACUGAGACACGGUCCAGACUCCUACGGGAGGCAGCAGUGAGGAAUAUUGGUCAAUGGGCGAGAGCCUGAACCAGCCAAGUAGCGUGCAGGAUGACGGCCCUAUGGGUUGUAAACUGCUUUUAUGCGGGGAUAAAGUGGCCCACGUGUGGGCUUUUGCAGGUACCGCAUGAAUAAGGACCGGCUAAUUCCGUGCCAGCAGCCGCGGUAAUACGGAAGGUCCGGGCGUUAUCCGGAUUUAUUGGGUUUAAAGGGAGUGUAGGCGGUCUGUUAAGCGUGUUGUGAAAUUUAGGUGCUCAACAUUUAACUUGCAGCGCGAACUGUCAGACUUGAGUACACGCAGCGCAGGCGGAAUUCAUGGUGUAGCGGUGAAAUGCUUAGAUAUCAUGAGGAACUCCGAUCGCGAAGGCAGCCUGCGGGAGUGUUACUGACGCUUAAGCUCGAAGGUGCGGGUAUCGAACAGGAUUAGAUACCCUGGUAGUCCGCACUGUAAACGAUGGAUGCCCGCCGUUGGCGCCCUGCGCCUGCGGCCAAGCGAAAGCAUUAAGCAUCCCACCUGGGGAGUACGCCGGCAACGGUGAAACUCAAAGGAAUUGACGGGGGCCCGCACAAGCGGAGGAACAUGUGGUUUAAUUCGAUGAUACGCGAGGAACCUUACCCGGGAUUGAAAUGUAGAUGACCGCCGGUGAAAGUCGGCUUCCCUUCGGGGCAUCUAUGUAGGUGCUGCAUGGUUGUCGUCAGCUCGUGCCGUGAGGUGUCGGCUUAAGUGCCAUAACGAGCGCAACCCCUGUCUACGGUUGCCAUCAGGUGAUGCUGGGAACUCCGUAGAGACUGCCGUCGUAAGGCGUGAGGAAGGUGGGGAUGACGUCAAAUCAGCACGGCCCUUACAUCCGGGGCGACACACGUGUUACAAUGGUAAGGACAAAGGGCAGCUACCUGGCGACAGGAUGCGAAUCUCUAAACCUUAUCACAGUUCGGAUCGGAGUCUGCAACUCGACUCCGUGAAGCUGGAUUCGCUAGUAAUCGCGCAUCAGCCAUGGCGCGGUGAAUACGUUCCCGGGCCUUGUACACACCGCCCGUCAAGCCAUGGGAGUCUGGAGUACCUAAAGUCCGUAACCGCAAGGGUCGGCCUAGGGUAAUACAGGUGACUGGGGCUAAGUCGUAACAAGGUAGCCGUACCGGAAGGUGCGGCUG
rnacentral:rRNA from 1 species